UACAGAGGUCCCGAGCGUUGUUCGGAUUCACUGGGCGUAAAGGGUGCGUAGGCGGUCGGGUAAGUCUGACGUGAAAUCUUCAAGCUCAACUUGGAAACUGCGUCGGAUACUAUUCGGCUAGAGGAAUGGAGGGGAGACUGGAAUACUUGGUGUAGCAGUGAAAUGCGUAGAUAUCAAGUGGAACACCAGUGGCGAAGGCGGCAUCCUGGACCGGCAUUGACGCUGAUGAGCGAAAGCUAGGGGAGCAAACGGG
rnacentral:rRNA from 1 species